UACAGAGGGUGCGAGCGUUAAUCGGAAUUACUGGGCGUAAAGCGCGCGUAGGCGGCAGGGCAAGUCGGCCGUGAAAUCUCCCAGCUUAACUGGGAGGGGUCGGGCGAGACUGCCCCGCUAGAGGCGGGUAGAGGGCAGUGGAAUUCCGGGUGUAGUGGUGGAAUGCGUAGAGAUCCGGAGGAACACCAGUGGCGAAGGCGGCUGCCUGGGCCUGGCCUGACGCUGAGGCGCGAAAGCGUGGGGAGCGAUCCGG
rnacentral:rRNA from 1 species